UACGUAGGGUGCGAGCGUUAAUCGGAAUUACUGGGCGUAAAGCGUGCGCAGGCGGUUUUGUAAGCCAGAUGUGAAAGCCCCGGGCUUAACCUGGGAAUGGCAUUUGGGACUGCAAGGCUUGAGUGCGGCAGAGGAGACUGGAAUUCCUGGUGUAGCAGUGAAAAGCGUAGAUAUCAGGAGGAAUACCGAUGGCGAAGGCAGGUCUCUGGGCUGACACUGACGCUCAUGCACGAAAGCGUGGGGAGCAAACAGG
rnacentral:rRNA from 1 species